rnacentral:lncRNA from 10 species
UAUCAAUCCAGUGAAAAGGUAAAAUAGAAAAUUUUCCAAUAUGUAAGUACAAAAAAACCUUCUGUUCAUGUACCUUUAUUCAGGAAACUCCCAGAAGAUGAGCUUUAACACGAUGGAGUAGUAAAUCAAGAAAGAUAAAUAUACAAGAUCCAGUACACAAAAGACCCAACACAGGACUAAAGAAGAAAACAGAUAAGAGAAGGUAGCUGUGCCCAGGCUAGAGACCAAACAGAGGAAGAAGGGUGUUUAUGGACUGUUUUUUGUGUCUGGGUAUGAGCAUUGGGUAAAAGUGUUUAUGCUUCACCUAUCAGUUGCAGUAUGUGUCAGACGUUAUGCUAAUCACUGAAAUUAUAUACUUUAAUUAUCAUAU